GACGAACGCUGGCGGCGUGCUUAACACAUGCAAGUCGAGCGGUAAGGCCCUUUCGGGGGUACACGAGCGGCGAACGGGUGAGUAACACGUGGGUAACCUGCCCUCGGCACCGGGAUAGCCCGGGGAAACUCGGAUUAAUACCGGACAGCCUCAUGAGCCUUCGGGCAAGUGAGAAAAGGUGGCUUCGGCUUCCGGCUGAGGAUGGGCCCGCGGCCGAUUAGCUUGUUGGUGGGGUAAUGGCUCACCAAGGCUC
rnacentral:rRNA from 1 species